rnacentral:rRNA from 1 species
UUUCGCAAUGCCCGAAAGGGUGACGAAGCGACGCCGCGUGUGGGAAGAAGGCCUUCGGGUUGUAAACCACUGUCGGGAGUUAGGAAAUGCAGGUGCGUUAAUAGCGCACUUGCUUGACUAAGGCUCUAGAGGAAGCCACGGCUAACUCUGUGCCAGCAGCCGCGGUAAUACAGAGGCGGCAAGCGUUGUUCGGAAUUAUUGGGCGUAAAGAGCACGUAGGCGGCCUUGCAAGUCAGUUGUGAAAGCCUUCCGCUUAACGGAAGAACGGCAUCUGAUACUACAGGGCUUGAGUACGGGAGGGGAGAGUGGAACUUCUGGUGGAGCGGUGAAAUGCGUAGAUAUCAGAAGGAACGCCGGCGGCGAAAGCGACUCUCUGGUACGAAACUGACGCUGAGUGUGCGAAAGCUAGGGGAGCAAACGGGAUUAGAUACCCCGGUAGUCCUAGCCGUAAACGAUGGGCACUAAGUAGAGGGGUUUU